AGGCACGUUCCGUCCAGUGCUCCCCGUGGGAGCCUGUUGACUGGACACCUGCCCAUCCAGGCACACACGGCCAGGAAGGUGAAUGCUGCAUCUGGGUCCGUCAGACACCGUGGAGCUGGUUGCCCCUGUGAGCCCGGGCAAGAGGGAGGGGAGCCUGGCGGAGGCUCCUGUGUGGCCCCUGAUGGUGGGGGCAGUGGGCGCAGUGGGUGCCAGCUUCCAGGGUUAGGAGCGUUGACAUUUAGUCACUGCCUACAGUUCCCUGGACACGCAGAGACCUGGGCUGGGAGGAGGCGUGGGUGGCAGGAGAGGACCUUGGCUGGGGCAGGGGUCAUUUGUUUGGAAAGUCUAGCUCCUUGUGGAACUGCAUGCAUGGCGAGGCUCCCAGGCCCAGGGAUGAGUCAGACUGCAAGGGAUUUACUAACUGGAGGGAGGAAGGAUACCACACUGGAGUUAUUUUUAAUUUUAAAAAUUUCUAGGUUAAGAAAAUGAGCAUGGUAAAAAAAAAAAAAAUCCAACAGGACAAAAGGGAUAUAUUUUCUGAAAAGUUGGCUUUCCUCACCGACUCCCACCCCUCUCUUUGGAGGCUACGACUGUUGACCUGUUAACACUUUCCUUCCAGAAAGUCUGUGCAAAUGUAAGCAUGUGGUAUAGACCCUUUGUGCCUUCUACAUCCGUUAUGCCUUUACACUUUACACACGUCUUUGCACCUUGUCUUUUUUCUUUACUUUAAAUAAUAACAUUUAGAGAUCUCUGGGGUCCGUUUUCAUGAC
rnacentral:lncRNA from 12 species